rnacentral:rRNA from 1 species
GAUGAACGCUGGCGGCGUGCCUAAUACAUGCAAGUCGAGCGAACGGACGAGAAGCUUGCUUCUCUGAUGUUAGCGGCGGACGGGUGAGUAACACGUGGAUAACCUACCUAUAAGACUGGGAUAACUUCGGGAAUCCGGAGCUAAUACCGGAUAAUAUUUUGAACCGCAUGGUUCAAAAGUGAAAGACGGUCUUGCUGUCACUUAUAGAUGGAUCCGCGCUGCAUUAGCUAGUUGGUAAGGUAACGGCUUACCAAGGCAACGAUGCAUAGCCGACCUGAGAGGGUGAUCGGCCACCUGGGAACUGAGACACGGUCCAGACUCCUACGGGAGGCAGCAGUAGGGAAUCUUCCGCAAUGGGCGAAAGCCUGACGGAGCAACGCCGCGUGAGUGAUGAAGGUCUUCGGAUCGUAAAACUCUGUUAUUAGGGAAGAACAUAUGUGUAAGUAACUGUGCACAUCUUGACGGUACCUAAUCAGAAAGCCACGGCUAACUACGUG